GGCGGCUUUUUCGGAUUCCCUCUCCGCCUGUGAUGCUCAGUUCCUUCCACGUGGUCGCUGGGGAGAACCUGCCACCCUGCUGACCGCGCUCUGCUGGACACGGUGUCCAUGACAAGACAAAAUUUGGACAAUCCUACCUUCUCCUGAAGUACUGGAUGCUGCUCAGAGAUAAAUUUUAGAACUUUUGGUCUCUUUUUCCAUGAAAAUAAAACAUACUGGAAUUUUGAUGGAAUAUUUGUGACAGAGAUAGCCCUUCAUUUUGAUGAAUUUUGAAAAGGUGGUCAUCUUUGUAAAGAGAGAUUUUUACCACAGGGUACGUAUACUUGCUGGAAAGACAGAUA